GGAGGUUUAGCUCAGCCGGGAGAGCACCUGCCUUACAAGCAGGGGGUCACAGGUUCGAUCCCUGUAACCUCCA
rfam:Lactobacillus rennini DSM 20253 NODE_222, whole genome shotgun sequence.